CGCGUGAGGAACCUGCCUCAAAGAGGGGGACAACAGUUGGAAACGACUGCUAAUACUGCAUAAGCCCACAGCUCGGCAUCGAGCAGAGGGAAAAGGAGCAAUCCGCUUUGAGAUGGCCUCGCGUCCGAUUAGCCAGUUGGUGAGGUAACGGCCCACCAAGGCGACGAUCGGUAGCCGGACUGAGAGGUUGAACGGCCACAUUGGGACUGAGACACGGCCCAG
rnacentral:rRNA from 1 species